rnacentral:rRNA from 1 species
GAUGAACGCUGGCGGCGUGCUUAACACAUGCAAGUCGAACGGAAAGGCCCCAGCUUGCUUGGGUACUCGAGUGGCGAACGGGUGAGUAACACGUGGGUGAUCUGCCCUGCACUUCGGGAUAAGCCUGGGAAACUGGGUCUAAUACCGGAUAGGACCACAUAUUGGAUGGUGUGGUGGAAAGUUUUUCGGUGUGGGAUGAGCUGGCGGCCUAUAAGCUUGUUGGGGGGGGGAUGGCCUACCAAGGCGUCGACGGGUAGCCGGCCGGGGAGGGUGGACGGCCACAUUGGGACUGAGAUACGGCCCAGACGCCUACGGGAGGCAGCAGUGGGGAAUAUUGCACCAUGGGCGCAAGCCGGAUGCAGCGACGCCGCGGGGUGGAUGACGGCCUUCGGGUUGUAAAAUCCGUGCGCUAGGGACGAAGCGUUAUGUGACGGUACCUGGAGAAGAAGCACCGGCUAACUACGUG